rnacentral:rRNA from 1 species
UCUGGGUGACAUGGCUACAUGCUGUGGCUGACGCUGGACCUAACUUCGUUGGGACUGGCUGAUGCUUCGGUGGUGGUAGUUGUGCAGCCUUUCUGCCGUAUCUGUGAAAACGGGUGCUGGUUGGUCUAUGCGGCCGGUCGGCAUGCUUCUGAAUGCCUUUAAUUGGGUGUUCGGAGCGGACGGCAUGUUUACUUUGAACAAAUUUGAGUGCUCAGAGCAGGCCAUAGUGCCUGAAAAUUCUUGCAUGGAAUAAUGGAAUAGGACUUCGGUUCUAUUUUGUUGGUUU